UAGCCUACGGGGGGCAGCAGUGAGGAAUAUUGGUCAAUGGGCGAGAGCCUGAACCAGCCAAGUCGCGUGAGGGAAGACGGUCCUAUGGAUUGUAAACCUCUUUUGCCGGGGAGCAAAAAGCGGUACGUGUACCGCAUCGAGAGUACCCGGAGAAAAAGCAUCGGCUAACUCCGUGCCAGCAGCCGCGGUAAUACGGAGGAUGCGAGCGUUAUCCGGAUUUAUUGGGUUUAAAGGGUGCGCAGGCGGGAGAUCAAGUCAGCGGUAAAAUCGUGGGGCCCAACCCCAUCCCGCCGUUGAAACUGGCG
rnacentral:rRNA from 1 species